rnacentral:lncRNA from 1 species
GCAUACGUGAGGAACCGACUUAGUGGUAGUACACCCGUACUCUGGGACUGGUCGGAGAGCGCUCUCACUAUGAGGUCGCAAAAGGUUGACGAGUACGGAAGAAUACAGGCCCUUUUGGGAGAGAAAGUCCUCGAACCGCCAAGAUGGUUAGCGAGUACAGUAGCUGAGAGUGGGGCCCCGGGCAAGACCGGCUGGAGAACAACUGGAAAGUCCAUAUCUGGGGAGGAAAACACAGAGAAACAACAAUCAUCAAACUUUUUUUUUUUACCAUGUUCCUUUGAUAAUGGGGCAAAUAGUAGUGUUUUGGAGAAAUAACAAGCAUGCUUAUGAGAUAUUACCUGAAUCCAUUCUGCAAAUUAGAGGACUAUAAAUAAAUCUAGGUUGCACUCUGCUC